rnacentral:rRNA from 1 species
AAUGAUACCCCGGUAGUCCACGCUGUAAACGAUGAGAACUAGAUGUUGGUAGGCAUGACCUAUUAGUAUCGAAGCUAACGCGAUAAGUUCUCCGCCUGGGGAGUACGGCCGCAAGGUUAAAACUCAAAGGAAUUGACGGGGGCCCGCACAAGCGGUGGAGCAUGUGGUUUAAUUCGAUGCAACGCGAAGAACCUUACCUACCCUUGACAUCCAAAGAAUUUUGCAGAGAUGUGAAAGUGCCGAAAGGAACUUUGAGACAGGUGCUGCAUGGCUGUCGUCAGCUCGUGUUGUGAGAUGUUGGGUUAAGUCCCGUAACGAGCGCAACCCUUAUCUUUAGUUGCCAUCGGGUAAUGCUGGGGACUCUAAAGAGACUGCUGGUGAUGAACCGGAGGAAGGCGGGGACGACGUCAAGUCAUCAUAGCCUUUAUGGGUAGGCUACACACGUGCUACAAUGGUCGGUACAGAGGGCAGCCAACCCGCGAGGGGGAGCUAAUCCCAGGAAAGCCGAUCGUAGUCCGGAUUGGAGUCUGC